rnacentral:rRNA from 1 species
AUUUUUCAACUUUGACCUCGAAUCAGGCGGGACUACCCGCUGAACU